GUCAGUGUCUUAUUUACCUGAAUGACAUGCACAUCAUGGUAGGCAAUAGUUGAGAACACAGAAGUGCAAUCUGUGUGCAGAAGAAAGCAGGCCCAUAAGACCCAGAAACCCAUGUUCUUUUUUCUAAAUUCUACUGAGUCUUUAUCAGCACUGUCUAAAAGAACUUUCCAUGAUGAUGAAAAUGUCCUUCAUCAACAGUACUAGCAACAACAUGUGGCUCAUGAGCGUUUGAAAUCUGGAUGGUGCAGCUGAGAAUCACAGGGGAGCUUGUUUGGUUGAGAAUCACGCCAGGAAAGUCAAGGACAUCCAUUUGAGCCCCAUCAGUGGGAUCACUGUGUUCUAUGGCUGCAAACGGAACCCGCAGCUCCAACUGGUUGUCCGGAGUCUUUGUCACACACAUACACGCACCCACAUACACGCCACCACACCUUCUGGACCAGUGGAGAUUCGGUGCGGCUGCCUGUGGAGCUAAUUUGAGGAAGAUGCUGAAACCAGGUCUUGGCUCUGCUGGAAGAACUGUCAUACUGGUGGAUCUUCCCAACCCAGGGAUCAAACCCUCAUCUCCUGCAUUGGCAGAAGGAUUCUUUACCGCUGAACCAUCAGGGAAGCCCCAGAUAACUGAAGACCCAUCUUGAAAAGUGCGGGUGCUUUGGGAACAGAGCAAGUUUCAACUCUGCUGUUCAACACAGAAAUUCCUCUUGGAGGAAUCUAGUCUCCAAGUACACAAAGGAUAUUCAUGGAGAGUCACUGCAGCAGCACUUUUAACAAUAAAAC
ensembl:lncRNA